rnacentral:rRNA from 1 species
AACGGAUGAGACUAGUGUUACUCAUAUGGACUUGCGUAAAGGAUUCGUAGGUGGCCGUUUAAGUUAGUAAAUACAGUGUGAAUCGUUUUAAAUCAACUUAAAGACAUUGCACUUUUUACUAACCAUAGCUAGAGUGAGAAUGAGGAUAGCCGUACUCUCGUGCAAGAAGUAAAAUGCUGACAUACUGAUGGGGACGAUCGUAGGUGCAGACAACUAUCUAUUUCUCUACUGACGCUGAGGAAUUAAAGCAUAGGAGCAAACAGG